UCCGUAGGUGAACCUGCGGAAGGAUCAUUACCGAGUUGAUUCGGGCUCCGGCCCGAUCCUCCCACCCUUUGUGUACCUACCUCUGUUGCUUUGGCGGGCCGCGGUCCUCCGCGGCCGCCCCCCUCCCCGGGGGGGUGGCCAGCGCCCGCCAGAGGACCAUCAAACUCCAGUCAGUAAACGAUGCAGUCUGAAAAACAUUUAAUAAACUAAAACUUUCAACAACGGAUCUCUUGGUUCUGGCAUCGUUGAAGAACGCAGCGAAAUGCGAUAAGUAAUGUGAAUUGCAGAAUUCAGUGAAUCAUCGAAUCUUUGAACGCACAUUGCGCCCUUUGGUAUUCCGAAGGGCAUGCCUGUUCGAGCGUCAUUACAACCCUCAAGCUCUGCUUGGUAUUGGGCACUGUCCUUUGCGGGCGCGCCUCAAAGACCUCGGCGGUGGCGUCUUGCCUCAAGCGUAGUAGAACAUACAUCUCGCUUCGGAGCGCAGGGCGUCGCCCGCCGGACGAACCUUCUGAACUUUUCUCAAGGUUGACCUCGGAUCAGGUAGGGAUACCCGCUGAACUUAAGCAUAUCAAUAAGCGGAGGA
rnacentral:rRNA from 1 species